rnacentral:rRNA from 1 species
AUUGAACGCUGGCGGUAGGCCUAACACAUGCAAGUCGAACGCGAAAGUCCUUCGGGAUGAGUAGAGUGGCGGACGGGUGAGUAACGCGUAGGAAUCUAUCCUGUAGUGGGGGAUAACGUUUCGAAAGGAACGCUAAUACCGCAUACGCCCCAAGGGGGAAAGCGGGGGAUCUUCGGACCUCGUGCUAUAGGAGGAGCCUGCGUCGGAUUAGCUAGUUGGUGAGGUAAAAGGCUCACCAAGGCGACGAUCCGUAGCUGGUCUGAGAGGAUGAUCAGCCACACCGGAACUGAGACACGGUCCGGACUCCUACGGGAGGCAGCAGUGGGGAAUAUUGCGCAAUGGGCGAAAGCCUGACGCAGCCAUACCGCGUGUGUGAAGAAGGCCUUCGGUU